rnacentral:sRNA from 1 species
AUGGCUGUCGUCAGCUCGUGUCGUGAGAUGUUGGGUUAAGUCCCGCAACGAGCGCAACCCUUGUCCUUAGUUGCCAUCAUUUAGUUGGGAACUCUAAGGAGACCGCCGGUGACAAACCGGAGGAAGGUGGGGAUGACGUCAAGUCAUCAUGGCCCUUAUGACCAGGGCUACACACGUGCUACAAUGGUAGGUACAAAGGGUCGCGAAGCCGCAAGGUGGAGCCAAUCCCAUAAAGCCUAUCGUAGUCCGGAUCGGAGUCUGCAACUCGACUCCGUGAAGUCGGAAUCGCUAGUAAUCGUAGAUCAGCAUUGCUACGGUGAAUACGUUCCCGGGUCUUGUACACACCGCCCGUCACACCAUGGGAGUUGAUUGCACCAGAAGCAGGUAGCCUAACCGCAAGGGGGGCGCCUACCACGGUGUGUUCAAUGACUGGGGUGAAGUCGUAACAAGGUAGCCGUACGGGAACGUGCGGCUGGAUCACCUCCUUUAAAGAGACAGCGUCAAAGAACGUUUUGCCGCGAGCCUCCCUUCACAAGUUACUUAUUCUCAUGUUUAGUUGGUUGGUAUGCCCUUUUGAGGGCAACCCGACGCUGGCCCCCGGGUCUGUAGCUCAGUUGGUUAGAGCGCACCCCUGAUAAGGGUGAGGUCGGAGGUUCAACUCCUCCCAGACCCACCAAAUCAGCCACAAGCUUGUGGGUCUUCAAGGCUAGAGGUUCGUGAGUGGAGUGGCACGGGGCCAUAGCUCAGUUGGGAGAGCGUCGCGUUUGCAACGCGAAGGUCGUCGGUUCGAUCCCGACUGGCUCCACCAAACCAACUUUCGAUCACAGCGUGUCAUGAGUCAUGCGUGAAUCCCUCCUCCGAGGCGAUCGCAUGACUCAUGGCAUGCGAGUCAUGAGACUCGUAUGUGUUCUUUAAAAAUUCGGCAAUUUGUUUUGAUGUCUGACUUGAGCGAAAGCUUAAGUUGGGUGUCGCAUUCGAGAACCAGUUGAUUGAGUGAUAUGACUCCAAAUCGCUUGGGGUUAUAUGGUCAAGUGAAUAAGCGCACAUGGUGGAUGCCUUGGCGACAGAAGGCGAUGAAGGACGUGGUAGCCUGCGAUAAGCUUCGGGGAGCCGGCAAAUAUGCUUCGAUCCGAAGAUUUCCGAAUGGGGAAACCCGG